rnacentral:lncRNA from 1 species
CUCCAGACAUGCUUACCUAGAAAUAUUAUGUUCAUUUCGAAACACUGAAAGGGAAAUAAACGAUGCCAUUGCCAACGCCCUCUGAAUUAGGAAACUUAGACCUUUAACACCAGAUAACUCCUGAUGCCACAUGUGACCCAAGGAGCAGCUGAGACUUCCAGUUUCCAUCUGAAUAUAAAAUAUAAAGAAAAUGACAACUUAUAUGGGAUUCUAUACUUUACAUAGUCCCUUCCCAUUACCAUCAGGAACAAAUAAUUGGUGAUCUGAUCUGGAAGAAUAAACUGAUCCCAGGAGGUAGAAGAAUCUAGAUGUUCUCUUUCAUAACUUUAUUAAAAUGGAAAUUGCAGCAUAACUUUACU